GUAGCUUUCUUCCAACUUUUCUUGAGAGCUUUUGAAGCCUUCUUGUAUUUUUCCAACUUGAUAUGUUCCUUGCAAAACAAAUUAUCUUUCUUCUUGCAACACAAGCAUUAGUAAUUAUACUUCAAGGUUUUGUGAUCAUCAAAAUUAAUCUUUAAAUCAAUUUUUGGGUCAUCAAUCUCCCCCUUUUUGAUGAUGACAAAACUUG
rnacentral:lncRNA from 1 species